GGGGACAACAGUUGGAAACGACUGCUAAUACCGCAUGACGCUUCUGGGGGCAUCCCCGAGAAGUCAAAGCUUUAUGUGCUGAAAGAUGGCUUCGCGUCUGAUUAGCUAGAUGGCGGGGUAACGGCCCACCAUGGCGACGAUCAGUAGCCGGUCUGAGAGGAUGAACGGCCACAUUGGGACUGAGAUACGGCCCAGACUCCUACGGGAGGCAGCAGUGGGGAAUAUUGGGCAAUGGGGGAAACCCUGACCCAGCAACGCCGCGUGAAGGAAGAAGGCCUUCGGGUUGUAAACUUCUUUUACCAGGGACGAAGGACGUGACGGUACCUGGAGAAAAAGCAACGGCUAACUACGUGCCAGCAGCCGCGGUAAUACGUAGGUUGCAAGCGUUGUCCGGAUUUACUGGGUGUAAAGGGCGUGUAGGCGGAGAUGCAAGUCGGGAGUGAAAUCCAUGGGCUCAACCCAUGAACUGCUUUCGAAACUGUAUCCCUUGAGUAUCGGAGAGGCAAGCGGAAUUCCUAGUGUAGCGGUGAAAUGCGUAGAUAUUAGGAGGAACACCAGUGGCGAAGGCGGCUUGCUGGACGACAACUGACGCUGAGGCGCGAAAGCGUGGGGAGCAAACAGGAUUAGAUACCCUGGUAGUCCACGCUGUAAACGAUGAAUACUAGGUGUGGGAGGACUGACCCCUUCCGUGCCGCAGUUAACACAAUAAGUAUUCCACCUGGGGAGUA
rnacentral:rRNA from 1 species